CACGGCGGGUGCUAACGUCCGUCGUGAAGAGGGAAACAACCCAGACCGCCAGCUAAGGUCCCAAAGUCAUGGUUAAGUGGGAAACGAUGUGGGAAGGCCCAGACAGCCAGGAUGUUGGCUUAGAAGCAGCCAUCAUUUAAAGAAAGCGUAAUAGCUCACUGGUCGAGUCGGCCUGCGCGGAAGAUGUAACGGGGCUAAACCAUGCACCGAAGCUGCGGCAGCGACGCUGUGCGUUGUUGGGUAGGGGAGCGUUCUGUAAGCCUGUGAAGGUGGCCUGUGAGGGUUGCUGGAGGUAUCAGAAGUGCGAAUGCUGACAUAAGUAACGAUAAAGCGGGUGAAAAGCCCGCUCGCCGGAAGACCAAGGGUUCCUGUCCAACGUUAAUCGGGGCAGG
rnacentral:rRNA from 1 species